AGGGCCGCUACCACGCGAGUGGAUGCCAAUCCCCAAAACCUCUCUCAGUUCGGACUGGAGUCUGCAACCCGACUCCACGAAGCUGGAUUCGCUAGUAAUCGCGCAUCAGCCACGGCGCGGUGAAUACGUUCCCGGGCCUUGUACACACCGCCCGUCAAGCCAUGGGAGCCGGGGGGUACCUGAAGUGCGUAACCGCGAGGAGCGCCCUAGGGUAAAACUGGUGACUGGGGCUAAGUCGUAACAAGGUAAC
rnacentral:rRNA from 1 species